UAAAGACUUGGUUCUGAUCUGCCAUAACAGUGCUAGCGAAUAAUUACACAUGGUUUCUAUUGAUUGUGGUGAGGAGGCUACGAGAUAGACUGGAAAUUUUAUUUUCUUUAUAGCUCAAAGCUUUGGGUAUUAUGCGGACAUAACGCUCAAUAAGUCUCACUAACACCAGUGUUGAAUCUUAAUACAUGUAUGUCAGUGCGCAUUAGUUUAGCUAAGCAGGUCUGGUCAACUGGGUGCCAGCAGCCGCGGUUAUACCUAGAGACCAAGGUGUUAUUUUAGGUAAAAAAGAUAGUUAGACGUACUACAUUUUAUACAAGAGUAGCUACUGAGGUAAAAUUCUUAAGCUACUUUCAGUUCAGAUAAAAAUUUCUUCGUGUUGAUGCUAUGAAACUUAAGAGGGAAACUGGGAUUAGAUACCCCACUAUUCUUAAACGUAAACUGAUAGAACCUACCAGAGCACUAUGAACCAUUCGUUUAAAACUCAAAGAACUUGGCGGUGCCUUAGACCCCUCAGGGGAACCUGUUUCAUAAUCGACAGUCCACGUUAGACCUCACCUUACUUAGUCUUCAGUCUGUAUACCGUCGUCGUCAGGUAACUUUUAAGAAAUUAAAUGUUAGCAACAAGGUUAUUAUAAACCUUUACGUCAGAUCAAGGUGCAGCCUAUAGGAAGGAGAGAAUGGGUUACAAUUAAAAAUUAUAACUACGAAACACAUUAACUGCAAUUAGUGGUGUGAAGGAGGACUUGAAAGUAAAAAACCAAAAAUAAAAGUUUUUUGAAUUAUGGCUCUGGGGCGUGCACACAUCGCCCGUCGCUCUCGUUGAAAAAUGAGAUAAGUCGUAACAUAGUAGAAGUAACGGAAGUUGCUUCUAGCUGAGC
rnacentral:ncRNA from 1 species